rnacentral:rRNA from 1 species
GAGUUUGAUCCUGGCUCAGGACGAACGCUGGCGGCGUGCUUAACACAUGCAAGUGGUGCGACGAACCAGCCCUUGCCCUGGGGCAAAGCCGCGAACGGGUGAGUAACACGUGAGUAAUCUGCCCCGAUGACCGGGACAACCCGAGGAAACUCGGGCUAAUACCGGAUGUGGUGCACAGGCAUAAGCCUGUCCACUAAAGGAAGCUUCGGCCUCCGCAUUGGGAGGAGCUCGCGGCCCAUUAGCUUGUUGGUGGGGUAACGGCCUACCAAGGCAACGAUGGGUAGCUGGUCUGAGAGGACGAUCAGCCACACUGGGACUGAGACACGGCCCAGACUCCUACGGGAGGCAGCAGUGGGGAAUCUUGCGCAAUGCGCGAAAGCGUGACGCAGCAACGCCGCGUGGGGGAAGACGGCCUUCGGGUUGUAAACCCCUUUCAGGAGGGACGAAGGUUCGCCGGUGAAUAGCCGUGCGGAUUGACGGUACCUCCACAAGAAGCUCCGGCUAACUACGUGCCAGCAGCCGCGGUAAUACGUAGGGAGCAAGCGUUGUCCGGAAUCAUUGGGCGUAAAGCGCGCGUAGGUGGCCUCAUAAGUCCGCUGUGAAAGUCAAAGGCUCAACCUUUGAAAGCCGGUGGAUACUGUGAGGCUAGAGUACGGAAGAGGCGAGUGGAAUUCCUGGUGUAGCGGUGGAAUGCGCAGAUAUCAGGAGGAACACCAAUAGCGAAGGCAGCUCGCUGGGACGUUACUGACACUGAGGCGCGAAAGCGUGGGGAGCGAACAGGAUUAGAUACCCUGGUAGUCCACGCCGUAAACGAUGGGUACUAGGUGUGGGAGGUGUCGACUCCUCCCGUGCCGUCGCUAACGCACUAAGUACCCCGCCUGGGGAGUACGGCCGCAAGGCUAAAACUCAA